CGGAGGGUGAACAAGAAAGGGAAUCUCAAGUGCUGAAGGUCUAGCAGUUUCUUGUUUUCUGCCUCCUCAGCCCCUGAGUGCGCCAAUCACGCCACUGUUUCACCUACAGCAUUAAAUGCGAUUUCUCCAGUUCGCUCUUGUCUAAGGCACUGCCCGUCCUCUCCACCUCAUCCUCGGACUUAACCGUCUGCUCGGCUUCCUUCAUGGCAGCUUCUGAGGGAGACUCAAACACCUCAUCUGGGUAACUGGACAUGUCCUCGUGCAACGCACCCUCCUGCCGAUAAAAUCACACAAAAUGUUGCAUAACUGUAAGGGAAAAUAACCUGUUAUCCUGGGUUUUGUAGUUUGCAAAAUAAAAAUGUAAAAAAAAGCCAAAUAA